UAGCCAGACUCCUACGGGAGGCAGCAGUGGGGGAUAUUGCACAAUGGGGGGAACCCUGAUGCAGCGACGCCGCGUGAGGGAAGACGGUUUUCGGAUUGUAAACCUCUGUCUUUAGGGACGAAACAAAUGAUGGUACCUAAAGAGGAAGCCACGGCUAACUACGUGCCAGCAGCCGCGGUAAUACGUAGGUGGCAAGCGUUGUCCGGAUUUACUGGGUGUAAAGGGCGUGCAGCCGGAGAGGCAAGUCAGAUGUGAAAUCCGCGGGCUCAACCCGCGAACUGCAUUUGAAACUGCUUCCCUUGAGUAUCGGAGAGGUAAUCGGAAUUCCUAGUGUAGCGGUGAAAUGCGUAGAUAUUAGGAAGAACACCAGUGGCGAAGGCGGAUUACUGGACGACAACUGACGGUGAGGCGCGAAAGCGUGGGGAGCAAACAGGAUUAGAUACCCUAGUAAGG
rnacentral:rRNA from 1 species